rnacentral:rRNA from 1 species
CCUACGGGAGGCAGCAGCAAGGAAUAUUGCGCAAUGGGCGAAAGCCUGACGCAGCGACGUCGCGUGAGGGAAGAAGGCCUUCGGGUUGUAAACCUCUUUUCUCAGGGAAGAAUAAUGACGGUACCUGAGGAAUAAGUCUCGGCUAACUACGUGCCAGCAGCCGCGGUAAUACGUAGGAGGCGAGCGUUAUCCGGAUUUACUGGGCGUAAAGCGGGCGUAGGCGGUUUUUCAAGUUGGAUGUAAAAUCUCCCUGCUCAACGGGGAGGGGUCAUUCAAUACUGUUGAGCUUGAGGACAGCAGAGGGAGGUGGAAUUCCCGGUGUAGUGGUGAAAUGCGUAGAUAUCGGGAGGAACACCAGUGGCGAAAGCGGCCUCCUGGGCUGUUACUGACGCUGAGGCCCGAAAGCGUGGGGAGCGAACAGGAUUAGAUACCCUGGUAGUCCACGUUGUAAACGAUGGGCACUAGGUAUAGGGAGUAUCGACUCUCUCUGUGCCGAAGUUAACACGUUAAGUGCCCCGCCUGGGGACUACGGCCGCAAGGCUAAAACUCAAAGGAAUUGACGG